UUUGACGGUGCUUCAGGAAUAAGCACCGGCUAACUCCGUGCCAGCAGCCGCGGUAAUACGGAGGGUGCGAGCGUUAUCCGGAAUCACUGGGUUUAAAGGGUGCGUAGGCGGCCUGAUAAGUCAGAGGUGAAAGUCUGCGGCUUAACCGUAGAAUUGCCUUUGAUACUGUUGGGCUUGAGUCAGGUUGAGGUUGGCGGAAUGUGACAUGGAGCGGUGAAAUGCGUUGAUAUCAGGAGGAAUACCAAUGGCGAAGGCACCUUUCUGGGUCUCAUCUGACGCUAAGGCUCGAAAGCUAGGGUAGCAAAACGGAUUAGAUACCCGUGUAGUCCUAGCCGUAAACGAUCCCUAUUAGAUAUUUGUUUUGGUUGAGGUAUUUGACUUCGGUUAAAUACGGACGCUGAGAUGAGUAUCACAGCUAACGCAGUAAAUAGGGCGCCUGGGGAGUACGGCCGCAAGGCUAAAACUCAAAGGAAUUGACGGGGACCCGCACAAGUAGUGGAGCGCUUGGUUUAAUUCGAUGCUAACCGAAGAACCUUACCAAGGCUUGAACUGUAGCUGUGGUCACGUAGAAAUAUGUGACGUCUUCGAGAAUGCUACAGAGGUGCUGCAUGGCUGUCGUCAGCUCGUGUCGUGAGAUGUAGGGUUAAGUCCCACAACGAGCGCGACCCCUGUCCAGUGUUAUAAUUACUCUGGAGACUGCCUUGCCAAAACGGGGAGGAAGGUGGGGACGACGUCUAGUCAUCAUAGCCCUUACGUCUUGGGCUACACAAGCGCUACAAUGGUUAGUACAAUGGGUGGCCAAACAGCAAUGUGGAGCUAAUCCCAUAAAACUAAUCUCAGUUCAGAUUGUCGGCUGCAAUUCGCCGGCAUGAAGUCGGAAU
rnacentral:rRNA from 1 species